UUUUUCUUUAUUUAAAAAUCCUUGAGUUGACAAAUGUCACUUAUAUUACCACAGAAUACAGCUGUUUGGCACAACUGAACAAAUGGAAUGUGUACACGUUUAAGGCAAGGAUGAUUUACGCUCAGACUGUGGGGACACUGAUUUUUUGGUCGAGGUCUGAGACACAAACUCCACGUCUAUUCAGCCAUUCAUUCUGAGUUGUCACAGAAUCCACUGAUGCAGUGUUAGAAUAUGUUUUCUUUGGGCAAUGAGCUUAAGGUUGGCACACAUACAGUAUAAAGCUAGCUUACAUUAGUUCAUUCAGAACAUUUACUAGAAAGUUUUAAAACAAAACUAGGCUACUCACAGGUUUUACAUUGUUCCACAUGUCAAAUGUUAUUUAUCAUCCCUGCUUUCCAUAAUGAUAAGUAAUGCUAGUAAGAAAAGUAAUAAUAGUAAGGACAAACAAGGGGAAAAAUGAUACAAAA